rnacentral:rRNA from 1 species
AACGAACGCUGGCGGCGCGCCUAAUACAUGCAAGUCGAGCGAGAAGGUGUAGCAAUACACUUGUAAAGCGGCGAACGGGUGAGGAAUACAUGGGUAAUCUACCAUCGAGUGGGGAAUAACCAGCCGAAAGGUUGGCUAAUACCGCGUACGCUUCCGAGUCUUCGGGCUUGGAAGGAAAGCCGCACUGUGAGUGCGGCGCUCUUUGAUGAGCUCAUGUCCUAUCAGCUUGUUGGUAGGGUAACGGCCUACCAAGGCUUUGACGGGUAGCUGGUCUGAGAGGACGAUCAGCCACACUGGCACUGCGACACGGGCCAGACUCCUACGGGAGGCAGCAGUAAGGAAUAUUGCGCAAUGGGCGAAAGCCUGACGCAGCGACGCCGCGUGGGGGAUGAAGGCCUUAGGGUUGUAAAGCUCUUUUACCAGGGAUGAUAAUGACAGUACCUGGAGAAUAAGCUCCGGCUAACUCCGUGCCAGCAGCCGCGGUAAAGUAG